rnacentral:rRNA from 1 species
AGCUCUCCGAGUGGUGUGGAUGUUUAUUGGGCCUAAAGCAUCCGUAGCUGGCCAAGUUAGUCCCUUGUUAAACCCACCGAAUUAAUCGUUGGAUUGCGGGGGAUACUGCUCGGCUAGGGGACGAGAGAGGCAGACGGUAUUUUCGGGGUAGGGGUGAAAUCCUAUAAUCCCGGGAAGACCACCAGUGGCGAAGGCUGUCUGCUAGAACGCGCCCGACGGUGAGGGAUGAAAGCUGGGGGAGCGAACCG